CAGGCCUAACACAUGCAAGUCGAGCGGUAGAGAGAAGCUUGCUUCUCUUGAGAGCGGCGGACGGGUGAGUAAUGCCUAGGAAUCUGCCUGGUAGUGGGGGAUAACGUUCGGAAACGGACGCUAAUACCGCAUACGUCCUACGGGAGAAAGCAGGGGACCUUCGGGCCUUGCGCUAUCAGAUGAGCCUAGGUCGGAUUAGCUAGUUGGUGGGGUAAUGGCUCACCAAGGCGACGAUCCGUAACUGGUCUGAGAGGAUGAUCAGUCACACUGGAACUGAGACACGGUCCAGACUCCUACGGGAGGCAGCAGUGGGGAAUAUUGGACAAUGGGCGAAAGCCUGAUCCAGCCAUGCCGCGUGUGUGAAGAAGGUCUUCGGAUUGUAAAGCACUUUAAGUUGGGAGGAAGGGUUGUAGAUUAAUACUCUGCAAUUUUGACGUUACCGACAGAAUAAGCACCGGCUAACUCUGUGCCAGCAGCCGCGGUAAUACAGAGGGUGCAAGCGUUAAUCGGAAUUACUGGGCGUAAAGCGCGCGUAGGUGGUUAGUUAAGUUGGAUGUGAAAUCCCCGGGCUCAACCUGGGAACUGCAUUCAAAACUGACUGACUAGAGUAUGGUAGAGGGUGGUGGAAUUUCCUGUGUAGCGGUGAAAUGCGUAGAUAUAGGAAGGAACACAGUGGCGAAGCGACCACCUGGACUGAUACUGACACUGAGGUGCGAAACGUUGGGGAGCAAACAGGAUUAGAUACCCUGGUAGUCCACGCCGUAAACSAUKUCAACUAKCS
rnacentral:rRNA from 1 species